GGGCCUGCAUAUGAACCGCUCUAGGAAUAUUGGUGGUUCUGUCUCUGCUGUGCUUGAAAUGUAACAUCCACACAGAAAUGUACAAAUCAUAAAUUUCCAGCUCCAAUAAUUUUUCAAACUGGACAUCCAGAACAAGAAAUGGACCACCCCCAGAAAUCCCAGGUCACCUUCACUUAUUCCCCACCCCCAGAUCUUAUGAUUCAGUUCAAGGGUAACAAGAAGCUAAAAAGACACAGGUGAUACAGCCUGUGCCCUCAGUUACUCUUCUGCUUCCAUCUUGGUCUGUGAGCUUCUCUGGGAUGUUAGAGGAGUGGCUGAGGAAGGAACCCAGGUGAGAGGCAGGCAUCCGGGCUGGUCCAGGUAGGCCUAGAGCCCCCAUCUUUAGCAGAGAUGACUGACUAGCCAUUUCUACUCAGGAAACAAAAAUGGAGUGGGAGCAAGGCCUGGGUUGGGCACCACCAUGCUUUCUGGGCCUGUUCAUCCCUCUAUGGUAUUAGACUCGGGACCCCUGGGUUCACCUCCUAUCUGGCUGUGGGUGCUGGUUGAAUCAUGUUUCCUCGCCUUAGGUUUUGCAGGUACACCAGACUUAGGGCAAUAUGUGCCAGGAGUGUGGGUGGAAGGUAGAGAGGUGUGCACUGGAGAGAGCUCACAGCGCACACCUGAUGGGAAGGACUCUCACAGGACCGCAGUGGAGGGGGCAGCAUGAUGAAGCAGUGAGUAUGUCAUAUUAUCAGGGACUUGUAUGGAUACUCUAGGCUCCCUUUAUUUCUGGUUUAUGGUCCUAUGGGCAAGACACUAAACUAGCCUCUAAGGGAAAUAUGAUUUUUUAAAAAGUUGAAGUGCUGCCCCAUUGCCAAGGAUCUCAUAAUCCAGUUUCAGAGCAGACACUUCUGAAGGUCAGGGUGGCAGUGCUUGUGGCAGCUGGAAAGCCAGUAGAUUCUGUCUAGUAUAUAAAGUCGGAGUUGGGGCUGCUCCAGCAGGGGCUUAGUAAGACUCAGGAAAGGGGAAGAAGGCCCCCCAAGUCUUGGGGGGCAGUAUAGAAGUGUCCCCUCUGUGGAUGAAAAAUGGGUUCUAUGGAAGGUAACCUUACAGGGUGAUCUGAUCAUUAAUUCCUACCUGGGCAGGUCAUGGUGGGUGGUCACACAUGCCCCAGGCAUAUAACUUCUUUAGUAAAAGGCUUACCUUUGCCUUAAGCAAGCCCUGUCCAUUGUUUCUAUGCAUCUAGAUUAACUCGCCUUUGAUCCCAGAGUAAUCCUCUUUUGCAGACCCCUUGGAGGCAUAACCACCCUCAAGGGAGCACAUAAUCUUGUUAAUUAAUUCUAUACCUUGCUUCCUCCCGUUUCAUGUCAUUUUCCUUACUUCUCUCCUUAAUUCCAAAUGCAUAAAAGAAGCUGCAAAAGUGUCAUUCUCGAGCAUUGAGAUCUUGCUUCCAGAUAAUUGUCAGUUUGGCUCAAAUAAACUCAUAAAAAUUCUCUACAGGUUUGGAUAUUCUACAUCGACAUCUCUCCUCGGGACACUUCUGUCUACCAGCCCCCUGCUCCCUGGAGCCCCAGGUUCCCUUGCAGAUGUCAUGUUGUAGGAAGCCAUAUUGGAGGAGGGUGAAGAAAGCAAGCAGAAGGCAAUGAGGUACAAAAGACAAGGGUUUGUAUAUGGAUGUCCAGGACAGAUGUGGACAGCAUGACCCUUGCCCUCAGUCAGUUUUUAAACCAAGUAACCAAUGAGGCCACUCAGAAGAGUGGGUGGCAAGUGGGCAGGACCCUGCCGCUAUCCUAUAGGGACCAUGAAGGAACUAUACCAUCCAUGGCCUCUGGGCCCUUUUUCCUGAUCUGCAGAACUGGACACGAACUUUCAGCCCGUUCUGCCCAGGGCUCACCCUUACAGAAGACAGCCCCUCUGUGGAGGGCUCCGAGCUUACAACCCCCCGCAAUAAUCAGAGCCAUGCAAGCCACCAGUCUAAGGUCUGUGCUUGCCUGAGCAGGACUAAAGCUGGUGGGGUGAGGGAGGGUGGGUCUGUGGGUCGUAGAGGAGCCUAAAGUCUUGGGUGGGUGGGGCAACAGAAAGGUGACAUUGCUGUACAAAUUCAAACUGAGACUG